UACGUAGGGUGCGAGCGUUAAUCGGAAUUACUGGGCGUAAAGCGUGCGCAGGCGGUCUGUUAAGACCGAUGUGAAAUCCCCGGGCUUAACCUGGGAACUGCAUUGGUGACUGGCAGGCUUUGAGUGUGGCAGAGGGAGGUAGAAUUCCACGUGUAGCAGUGAAAUGCGUAGAGAUGUGGAGGAAUACCGAUGGCGAAGGCAGCCUCCUGGGACAACACUGACGCUCAUGCACGAAAGCGUGGGGAGCAAACAGG
rnacentral:rRNA from 1 species